UACGAAGGGGGCUAGCGUUGCUCGGAAUCACUGGGCGUAAAGCGCACGUAGGCGGAUUGUUAAGUCAGGGGUGAAAUCCUGGAGCUCAACUCCAGAACUGCCUUUGAUACUGGCGAUCUUGAGUCCGGGAGAGGUGAGUGGAACUGCGAGUGUAGAGGUGAAAAUUCGUAGAUAUUCGCAAAGAACACCAGUGGCGAAAGGCGGCUCACUGGCCCGGUAC
rnacentral:rRNA from 1 species